AAGAAGCGUGGACUCUUGUCCUGAGUGCACCGAGGCUUUCAGCCUGCGGGACAGUGGUGCGAUUUGCAUUAGAGCCUAUCUCCCAGGACUAUGGAAGCCCCAUGCAGGAACAUGGUUCUGACACUUUGGGGAUUAUACCCUAAGCUUAAAGGACUGGAAAAGCCCCUGAAGUCCCGAGACCACAACCCUCCACCUUCUAAAGAUAAGACAAGUCACUGAAGGUGGGUAUUGAUCCUAUUUUAAAAUAUUAUAUUUGCAAAGGACAACUGUUUGUCUCUCUUUUCACAGCUGAGCAAAGGAAAAUCCUCUGGGAAGGAGGCAAAUAAUGGAUAACUACUAUUUGGGGCCAGCUCCUGGUUUUGCUUGUCUAUGAUGAGGACUGUGCUAAUAAAUUACUGCCUUUCAGGUUUAAUCAACAUAUUUUGGGCACCUAGUUUUGCUGGAUAUGGCAUUAAGCAUCCUCACACAUUUCAGUUUGUUUACUCUUCUGCAAUAGUGAGAGGAGAGGUAAAUAUCCAGUUGAUAGACAACAAGGGCAGAUAUGGGGAAACCAAAGACAUGUUGCUAAGGCUGACUCUAUAUCAUCCAAACCUGGGAGAUUUGGGGAAUGAAAGAACUGAGCCCACAGACAAGAACCAGAUCAUCCCAGGGAAGCUGGGACUUAUGGUCACCCUGAAAAGAAAUGGCAGCUAGGCGACAAAACCCAUGUCUUCAGACUUAAGUCUAAAUCAGUUUAUAUUGGAUACGUAUUCAAUCUAAUACUUGUGGAAUUUGGAUUUAGUGGUAUGAAAAUAAACAUGGACAUAAGAGUAUGUUUCCUAAGUAAAAUGUUUCUAACAAGAAAUGUUCAGUUAUCAUUAUCUGUUGGAUGUUAGGCAAGACACUAAGCUUCUCUGCACUUCAGUUUUCUCAUCUUUAAAAAGGGGAAAAUAAUAGCAGUUACUUCAUGGGUUUACUAUAAGGAUUAAAUCAGUUACUACAGGUAGAAAAGUACUUGAUAUCUAGCACUAUUAAAUAAAUGUCACCUAUUAUUUUUAAUACUGUAUUUGUAAAGAUAUUUUGCAAAAUACAGUGGCUCUAAGAAUUUGACAGGAGGCGUAUUACUUUGUACCUCUCAAUUGCCAUGUAUUUUACUGAAUGAUUAUGAAGAGAAUGUUUUCUGGAUGUAUGGAAUAUCCCAAGUUCUUGUUUUUUGUUCGUUUGUUUGCUUGUGUUUUAACAAAUAGCACUAUUCUGGUCCAACAGGUAAAAUCAGCUCCUCAGUGUCUCCAAGGACAGGAAUGCCAUGGGCUGGGAGGCGCCAUGGGUGAACAGACUUCCCUACUUCCUGCCUCCCCAAGGGUGGGGAGCAGUCUAGGGGAUGGCUGUACUCCUGGGCCCAGUGUCUAAGUGAAAAUUAGGAGGAAAUGGAGGGAGGGUGGCGAGCGAGGACAGACUGGCCAAGGUCCCCCGCAGCCACUCCUGAAGUCCUCACGAGGGAGAAGCAGCCUCUCCUUCCAGCCUUCCCCAAGUCCUCCCUAAGAGUGUAUUCUACUGGUUUCUGUGCAGAUUUUUUUCGGCUGCGACCAAUAGUAGCUUAAACAUGGAUUAUUUUCUUUUUAAUUUCUUCCUGCAAAAUUCUUAGGAAACCAUUAAUAAAAGUAAUAUACAUGUGAAA
rnacentral:lncRNA from 1 species